CAAAAGUUUUGUGUUAAAUAGAGUAAAACGUAUGCGAUGGCAGGAAAUGUCUCCUAACACAUCCAUCUAUUCCCUUAGCACCUAGCACCACGCCUGGCACUUAUUAAAUGAUCUGCAGAUAUUUGUUGAACAAAUAAAAGGCAAGAAGUUGAAGCUGAAUGAAGGCUUGUCUCGCCUGUCCACCCCUCACAGGGCGUAAGUCAGGUCUGCGACCCUCCUAGGGAUCCAGUGAGAUCUGGGGUGCUACCUGUAGGGACAGUUCUAAAGAUGUUUUGGAGGCACAGGUUACACAACUGCUCCUCAAAAUUGUGAGCCCUUAGCGUAUCCAUUCUGACUUAUACAAUGGUGAGGUCCGUCUGGCUCUCUGUCUCAGGCCUCUGCCCCAGGACUGUCCUGCCUCUCCCAAAUGGAACCUAGGGGCUGACUGUCAUAAAACACCAUCUCACAACCUCUAGAUGCAGAGCUGUUCACAUUAUCACUUGCACUCAGCCUCAAGGCACCGUUUCUCUAGCUUAGAGCCAAGAAAGAAGAGAGCUGGGGCUCCUCCCUUUAAUUCUUGUCACCGUGGAGACUGGGUAGGCCUGGAUUAUACCAGCGCCCAGACGCCAAAACAUGAGGAACUGGGCUGUGCGCUCAUGCUGCCAAAUUCACAGGCAGCCCCCGAACCCUAAGACAGUCUUUUAAGAGAUGACGUGUUAUGCCUGCAAAUGCCUUCUACUCUCCAGAUCAGGCCUCUCUCCGAAACGAGAACCUGUCUCCUACCCUGAAACUCUCUUUAGGGGCAGGAUUCCUGAGCUGUAUCCUUAAUAUCUUUCCCUUGAUCCUUACAUUUCGCAUUGGCAUUUUUUAUGUCAUUUGCCUGUUUUGCUUUGUAUCUUAAGUGCCACUCAGUUCCUUACUAGAACCUGCAAAUGUCCCAGAGGCUCUCAUUCAAUUUCUAGCCUGCUCUCUUAUCCCUCCUUGGGGUGGGGUGAGGCUUCAUCCCUUAACAUGGUUUCAACAUCCUUCUGUGUACAGAUAUUUCUCAGAUCGUCUAUUUCCUGCUAUUUCCCCCUGUCAUUGAAGUUCAUUAUAUCUGCCUACUGUGCACUAUCACUUGACGUCAUCUUGACAUCCCUGUUUUAACCAAAGAAUUACCCGGGUCUAGGCUCUACAGUGUCUCUAAGUCAUUGGUGGUGGGUAAUGUUUCGAGUUAAGUGACUGUGGCCAUGAGUCUGACUUCAGUUGCUUUGUUGGCAUUGCUGUGCCAACUCUUACUAGCCCCCUAAGGUCUGGUUGUUUCUGACUCCUGUCUGUGGUCUUAGACUCUAACUGGUACCCAGCAUCUUGGCAAACUCCUCAAAGCUAGAGUAGCUUCCAUCCUGAGAUCUCUCCCUUUCUUCUCGUCCUUAUUCAUACAAGUAUCAGUUUUUUAAAAUUUGGUUUGGGACCUUCCAGAAGUAGCCUUGUCACUGCUAGUGUAGCUAGAGCCUUUUCACAUGUAACACAUGUUGCUUUGUUAGAAGUCAACUGGCAUGGUGGAACCACCAUCGAAUUCAGCUCCACAAAGGUUAAUAGCUCAUUCCGUUUGAGAGCAUUCGGUACCUGCUGUCCCCCUGUGAUAAGGAAGGACCUGCCAAGCCUGAGAAUCUCCCUACCUCACCAUCCACCCCACUGGGACCCCAACCUUUCAGAAUCUGUAGCAGUGAGGCUCUAGCUACAAACAAGGGACCAAGAGAGCUGCCCCACAGAGUAUAACCAUAUGCCCUUAGACAGGGAUUGUUGAGCUAGCUUACGGUCUAGAGUGGGUGUCUGCUAUCUGGGUAAACAAAAUGUUUAUUAAGGUCUCUGGUUUUCCAGGCAGUACUUUACAGGCACUGGGAUGUACAGUAUUGGAAAAGACAAGGUCCCUACCCUCAAGAGACUCAAGUUCCAAUUAGAAUAUUAGCUAACAUUUAUUGAGCACUUACUAUGUGCCAGGCAGUAUUAAAAGUACUUUACAUGUACUAAUAUUUAGUUAAGGAGACAGAAACCAUAAACAAUUACUAGCCAAGUGAACAAAGGACAAUGGAAGAAAAGAGAAGAAUUAAUUCUACUGUUAAUGGUCAGCGAGGCUUCACAGAGGUGACAUUUGAGAUGGGACAUAUAAGAUGUCCAAAGUUUCACUAGAAGAGGAAACAGACUUUGCAGAGGAACCACAUAGCUAGUAGCCCUAGAGGCUGUAGCAGAGAGUGUGAAGGAUCAAGUCAGCAUCCUACUAAGGAUGUGUAGACUGGACCCAGAGUGGGUGGGGCUCUGAAUGCCAUGUUAAAAAGUUUAGACUUUAUCCUUUAAAAGACCUUCAGCAUCUCCUCCUCGCCUGAGCCAAAAUGACUUUUGAUCAGGUCCGUAUUUUAGAAUAAUAAUUUCUGGCACCUGUGUGAAGGGUGGAUUGUAAAAGGGAAGAGACUCAAGCUGGGGAGGACAGUGGGGAAUUUUUUCCAAAAGCCUGGAUGAGAGAUCAAGACCUGUAUCUGGAUGCUGGCAAUGUCAAGGGUGAAUAAAGGAGGAAUUCAAGUGAAGGCAGAGGGAGAAUUGUCCAGAUUUGGGUUGAACACAAAUCUAAAUGUGAGGGAGGAGUCGAAAGAUAAAACAGGGUUUCUAGAAGAUUUUUCACCAAGAUAGGGAGAACAAAAGGAAGGAGGGGAGAAAACGAGUUUUGUUUGGGUCAUGAGAGACUGCCAGGUAGGAACGGUCAGUAGACAAUUAGAACUGCAGUUCAGGAAAAAAAGGGCAAGAGGGAGACUUGGGAGUUCUGAGUACACAGAGCAGGAGAGAACCAAGGAUAAAAUGGUGGGGGACACUGACAUUUAGGGGCAGGACGAGUAGCUGAAAAGGGGCAGUUGGGGGAAGAGAACCUAGGAAAGCCAAGCUCAAUAACUUCUGUGCCAGAAGAAUGAACUGGUGGGUGAGUAGGCUGGUUAGCUCCAGAGAGGUGAAGUAGGAUGAGGGCUGGAUGAAAACUGGAGAGCUGGAAUAAAUUAUUAGUUCUUUCUACCCAUCUUAGACUUACUUCAGAAGAGGGAUGCUGGUGUGAUGACAAGCUUGAAAACAGGCAUCUGCUGACAAGGGAAAGCCAAUGGGGCAGGGGAGUGACAAUGCCUCACUUAUUUGCCCUUUUAUCUGCUUGUGUCCCUUCUACUCAGAGCCCCGAAGCCAGGACAGGAGACGGCGGCAGCAGCCACUGACCCAUCGCCCUACUUCAAGCAGCCCGGCCCCGUCCCCAACUCCUGUUAGUUCUAACACAGCCUCUUUACACAUGGGCUCCUGCCUACUGCCCAGCUCACUCAGCAUAUCAGGGAGUAGCUGCUCAUUCCUAUCCUCAGGGGACAAACCAGAGGCUGUCGUGGUGAUUGGGAAAGGCCUGCUAGGGGCUGGACCUCGGAUCCCCUGUAUCAGGACCCGACUGCAGACCUGCCCGAGGAGAGUUCCCGCCAGGAGGGGUCCCGGAUUCCCCAGGCUAGGCCCAGGUUGGGCCGGGGCUCACCGCCGACUCACAGAGGGAUGAGAGGCUCUUCGGGCCCCACGUCCCCUAUCCCCCGGACCAGGGAGAGCAGCGAGCCAGAGCCGGGACCCUGCUCCAUACCACGGCUGCCUCAGGCUGGGCCCCCACGGCCCUGCUCUGCCCCUGCCUUUUCUCCUAUUUCCCGUAGUCUGUCUGACUCCCAGUCCCGGAUUUGUUACAGUGGGGGGCCCUUGGGCCAAACUGAGGUUUGUUUUGUCCCUAAAUCUCCUCCACUCACUGUUUCUCCCCGGGUCUGAGGCCUUGACCUUCAUGCCCAGCACAUGACCCCGAGAUGGGGAACACAGUGAGAAAUGUGCUAGUCCCCUUUCUCAGCUCCUGAUUCCAUGUGACAAUUAUAACUCCUUGGAACGCCAGCCACACUGUUCUGAGACAUUGCAGAGCAUCACCUUGAGACAGGACAAAGCAGGGACCUGCCACCCCUUCCCUCCCUCCACAGCACACGACUUUGGGACCACAAAAAAAAUCUAUAUUUUUAUAUUGGGGGGAGGGAGUGGAAAAUAAAGUAGCCCUAUGCUGGGCCCUAUUCAGUGGCAGCUUCUUGUUCCAUAAGGUUAAGGAAGACUGAGGAAAUAAAAGUUGUUUGGAAAAA